GUCCAGGGAUGGGAAUCGAACCCACAGUGUUCCGCUUACCGGGCAGAUGCCAUGUCCACUAGGCUACCCUGUA
rnacentral:tRNA from 1 species